AAGAGUGUAGUAUUAGUUGGUUAGUAUAAUGAUCUCCAAAAUCGAAGGCAGGUGUUCGAAUCACCUCACUCUUG
rnacentral:tRNA from 1 species